GCUCUCUGUCUCUCAAAAAUAAACGUUAAUUUUUUUUUUUUAAAAAGGGUCAGAUGCUUAACCGACUGAGCCACCCAGGUGCUCCCGGAAAUUGUGUUUUAAGGCACCAAAUGUAAUCUUAUCUAUGGGAAAACAGCUUUGGCAAUUUCGAUUACAUAUUGAAGCAUGGUGACUCUGAACAGCUAAUGUCUACAGGACACAACCUGGACUUCCACUCGACUCCUCGCUCUGCUCAGGCUGUACUCCUGUGCCUCCAUUGCACAAGCUCCUCCAACAGAUCAUAACCAAAUUCCACGCGCAAAUGGAGAAAUGAUGCCCACUGUCUACACCAGCAAAGAACAGGAAUGAUUUGAUGCAGUUGUGCAGGAGACGCACACACAAAACAAUCUUUCUAUAGCAAUAUAAUGCAUGGAAACCUUGUCCAGAUUUCCAUCAUACUUAACUCCUAAACUGAAGCUUCAAACUCUCAUAAUGCCUGUAUGACAAACUACAAUCCGGGUGAAAAUGCUCUAUGUCACUUUGAAGGUUAAUUUUCUACAUCAGCAUGGCUAAGUUAUGGUGUCAAGUUGUUUGGCCAAUCAUCACUCCGGAUGUUUUUGUGAAGAUAUUUGUUAGAUGUGAUUAGCACUUACAAUAAGUAGACUUUCAGCAAAGCACACGACCCUCCAAAAUACGUGUGGCCCACAUCCAAGCAGUGGAAAGGAUUAAGAGUAAAAUUUGAGGCUUCCCAGAGGAGAAGCAAUUCUACCUCAAGACUGCAAUAUAAGAAACUCUGUCUAAAUUGCCUGCCCACUGGUUUAACCUGCACAUUUUGGACUCAAGACUACAAUAUCAACUCUUGCCUUCAUUUCCAACCUGCCCCCUAACCUGCAGAUUUCAGACUUGCCAGCCCUCCCGGUCACAUGACCCACUCUUUAGAGUAAGUCUCUUUUUCUCUCUCGCCUGCUUUGUAUACCCUAUUGGUUCUGUUUUUCUGGAGAACCCUGACUAAUACAGUUACCAAACUUAGGGAAAGGAAGAUGACAAACGUAAGGCGAUGAAAAAGUUUGUAAAAUAGCUCAUAGUAAAAACAACAUCCAUGUCUAACAUUCUGCAUUCUAGAAGCACACCCUGAACAACACCCACAGGCCCCAAACAAGGCUUAAGUAGCCCUAUUGCUUUCCUGAGAAAAAGUUCAAUGGGUUGAUGUGCUAAUCGUAUCUUAUUUUAUCAUGGUACUAGGCCAUUGAAUUGCCCUUAAUUAUGUACCGACCUGCCUUUUUCUGCCAGGCUGAGGGCAGGGACCAAGGUUUUGUUAUCUUUGUAUCCAGACUGAAUAAAAGAUUAUUGAUUGCAUGUGAACAUGGUUCUAAUUUAAAAGGGAAUAUAGUGAAAACUUAGAAGUCACCAUAAUAAAAUACGCUUUGGGUCCCAGGUAACUAGAAAAAGUUGCAUUUCAAAGGGAAAAGCCUCUUUAAAAUGCUAUGCACAUUUUGUGUCUGAAUCCUUGAUUUCAGAGUAGAAAAGCCUGGAGGAAAACAGUUGAUCCCAUCUUUUUUGUGCAACAGCAGCUAUAAGAAAAAUUAAGUCAUCCGCUCCUUACAUUUAAUAACCACAAAGUCCAGGGUACAUGCGGCCUAAAGAAUAAAGGUGAGCAUUCUCCUCCAAGUCUGCUGAGGCUAGCCAGCUAAGAUAGCAGGAUGCAACUGUCUCUACAUAGGAAUGUUUCAGUGUGAUGCCUUUCAGAGAGUAGACAAGCCUGAGUUCUUGGGCCUAGAAACCACGAACAAAAAUAACUGAUCUGAGUUUAUUUCAAUGCUAAUAGAUGCUGUGGACAAAAUGUGUGUGUCCUAUCAAAACCCAUACAUCGAAUCCUAAUCCCUAAUGUGAUGGUAUUAGGAGGUAGAGCUUUGGGGGAGGUGGUUAGGUCAUAAGAGUGAAGCUCUCAUGAAUGGGAUCAGUGCCCUUACGAAAGAGACCCCAGAAAGCUCUCUUGCCUCCUCUGCCAUGUGAGGAUCCAUUGAGAGGAUGGCCCUCCAUGAACCAGAAAAUGGGUCUCACCAGACACUGAAUAUGCUGGCACCUUGAUACUAAACUUCCAGCCUCCAGGGCUGUGAGAAAUAAAUGUUUGUUGCUUAAGCUGCCAAAUCUGUAGUAUUUUUUUUUUUUGGUAGUAUUUUUGAUACAGCAGCCAGAUUCGAUUAAGACAAAAUGCAUCUCAGAAGUACCGUCUGUUUAGAGCCCUUAUUCCCAUGGUUCCAACAAAGGAACCAUUUGAAGAUGCUAAGACUGAUGGAUGGCCUAUGGUCAUUAUUUGCUAAAAUCUAAGAGAAGAGCACAUCCUAAUCAGGGGAGAGGCAUUUGGAGAAAGCCUUCAAUACUGUUUUCUGCCCAAGAAAAGUCCUUUUGCUUUGGAGCCCACUGUCUAUUGGCAACAGCUGGAAUGGGCCAACGAAGGCAUGGUUUCUGUCGUGAUGAGAUUGAACGUUUCUUACAAGUCUCAUUUGGUGAGCAGGUCUUUGGCCUCAGCACAGUCUUGAUGUGAAGAUACCUUUUCAGGGGUGCCUGGGUGGCUCAGUUGGCUGGACAUCUGACUUCGGCCCAGGUCAUAAUCUCAUGGGUUGUGAG